rnacentral:ncRNA from 2 species
AACCUCUUUCGGGGCGGGGUGAGAUUCCCCACCGGCGGUGUUCGCUGCGGGCUGGCAGGCCGCCCUGCCAGCCCUGAGCGGAGCGAAUAACAGUCACGUCCUGCGCGUGUUCUGACUUGCGCUCCACUGAGCAGCCUCAGCCCGCGAAGCCUGCCGACUUUUCCAUAACCGGGCAGGCCCGACCCAGUGCGAGUCUGGGGCCGACAGUGAAAGGGCCGGUUGCGGCCCCGCAGUCUGGAUGGGAGAAAGGGGAA